AUUAUUUUGGCAGAAUAGUGUAAUAAAUUUAGAAUUUAUAAAUAUAUAAUAUUAAAUUAUAUAAAUAAUA
rnacentral:tRNA from 1 species